rnacentral:rRNA from 1 species
UACGGAGGGGGCUAGCGUUAUUCGGAAUUACUGGGCGUAAAGCGCACGUAGGCGGCUUUGUAAGUCAGAGGUUAAAGCCUGGAGCUCAACUCCAGAACUGCCUUUGAGACUGCAUCGCUUGAAUCCAGGAGAGGUGAGUGGAAUUCCGAGUGUAGAGGCGAAAUUCGUAGAUAUUCGGAAGAACACCAGUGGCGAAGGCGGCUCACUGGACUGGUAUUGACGCUGAGGUGCGAAAGCGUGGGGAGCAAACAGG